AUACGUAGGUGACAAGCGUUAUCCGGAUUUACUGGGCGUAAAGGGCGUGUAGGCGGUCUUGCAAGUCAGAAGUGAAAUUCCUGAGCUCAACUCGGGCGCUGCUUCUGAAACUGCAAGACUUGAGUGCUGGAGGGGAUAGCGGAAUUCCCGGUGUAGCGGUGAAAUGCGUAGAGAUCGGGAGGAACACCAGUGGCGAAGGCGGGUAACUGGACUGCAACUGACGCUGAGGCGCGAAAGUGUGGGGAGCAAACAGGAUUAGAUACCCUGGUAGUCCACACUGUAAACGAUGAAUGCUAGGUGUAGGAGGUAUCGACCCCUUCUGUGCCGCAGUAAACACAGUAAGCAUUCCGCCUGGGGAGUACGGUCGCAAGAUUAAAACUCAAAGGAAUUGACGGGG
rnacentral:rRNA from 1 species